UAGUCACCAUCUAAGUCCGGUCUCAUUCUUGUGUUCCCUAAGAAAUUAUGAAUUUUUUUCGUAGAAAUACAUAUAUGAAUUUAUUACUCAUGCACACAUAUUGAGAUUUAUUCUCAACUCUUUAUUUCUCUCAUUUGAUGUGCAUAUUCGUCCACAGGCAUCUGCAAUGACAAAAGGCAUAAGGAACACUACCGCUGUGAUCUUAGAGCUAUAUUCAGAAAACAACACCCACAUCCUUUGUGGGUAGUGUAGACGUCUUGGAAGCAAAAAAGAUUGAUUGACAAUUAUAAUUAUAUUAAGGGUUUUUUUGAUCUCAUCAACGGUCCAGAUAUUAGGAAGUUUACUUGGACAGCAUUUAUACUUAAGAAAGGUAAAAUGCGUUAGUAGGACUCAAUCGCGCGCCUCUUAGUGGGACAAAAUCACGUGCUACAGGCCUUUUUGCCAUGUUUCUCGGCUGGUGGCCUAUACGUAUGUAAUUCGUAGGUUAAAAUUGUUUUAAUCAAGUUCAUUCUUUUUCAAUUUUCAAUCACGCUUCUUUUAAUGUUUGAUUGCUGCGAUUGUUCAUAUGUUUUGGCCGGCUGCAAUUCAUUUAGAUGAGCCAUCUGAAUGUCCACAUUUUCUGUCUUAAAGCAAUAAAUAUGUUAUUUAUCUUGGUGGAAAUUUUUCUUACCUCCCUGUGAUAUUAAUCUCUUCUUAGCGUCUUCAUACUUUUCUUCUACCAACAAGUCUUCUAGAAUGAUUCUCAAAAUAUUUCUCAGGGAUCUGAGAUUGAAUGUUCUCAACUCAGGGAUUUGUCUCUUGAGCUGCCUUUUUCUUUAGAGGGAUCCCAGCCUCUAGCGAUGAUGAUACAUUUGUUGAUGAAUCCUUCAUCUUCUAGGACAUUUCCUGAUCGAGGUGACAAUUCCCAAUUUAAUGCUAUUGAGGCUCAAAAGACUUCGAUUGUUAGUUAUAGAAAAGACUUUUGAAGCUUCAGAGGUAUUUUUAAUAUUACAUAGCAAAAUGUGGGUGAUAUUAGGGACUAUUUUGGUGUCCUUGAUGAUCUAGAGUUGAUCUAUCCGAGGCAGUUUCAAACUGCAGACCUACGCCCCAUAAUUGUAUCGCUAUUCAUAAGUGUUUGAUGGAUAUGGGGCUAGAUUUUCCUUUCACUCUUUCUUCCAUAUCCUCGUUUCCUCCUGUAAUACUGUCCCUAUAUAGCUUACUCUGAUGAUGGGACCACAUGCCUGGAUCUCUUUUAUUAUUGAAUAUUGAAGGUAUGAGAGAGAACUUCCUCCAGAUAGUUUGUGGUCUAUUUACAAUCCGGUGAAAGUAGGGAAUGGUAUGUACCCACAAAAUGAUAUUACUAUUGAUAAGUGCGUUUUUACGCACUUAUUUG
rnacentral:lncRNA from 1 species